GACCGCUCCGGUGGCAGAGUGGCAAAAGAGUCCGCCUCGGAAGCGGGAGGUCAUAGGGUCGAACCCCGGCCGAGUCA